UUGUGAGCCUGAAAGACCCCCGAAGGGAGACCCUCACUCAAGUCUCGGGAACGUCGCGCACCCAGUGGGACACUAAGACCG
rnacentral:pre_miRNA from 7 species